AAAGAUGCUCUUUCAGACAGAGAGCCCAGCAUUGCAGAAAAAUGUGAUAUGGGGCAGGAGGAGUGGAAACAGUCCCUUAAUCCCAGUAAAUACGGAACACCAUCAGGAAAGCUCUGAACAGGGGAAAGAACAUCAGAAGCAUGUGGGAAGAAACCGUCAUCUGGACACAAUGAAGGAGGGAAUAAAGUCUGUGCUACAGGAGUUGGACUGCCCGAAAGUGAUGGAUGGACUCCAAUUAAAAGGAACAGAAGAGGUAAUUAACAAACAGCUGAUAAAAGUAAAUACCUUUGAGAGACUGGACGUGGAGAGACAGCUGUUGGAAAAAGAAAGACAAGUAACAAAGGACUCAAAAUUUCACCAGACUGAGAAGGGGAAAGAGAAACAAGAAUUGGUCCUGAUGGAGGUAGAGGACGAGGACUUCUGGGAUACAGCAGAGCUGCCAAAGUCAGAGAAGGCUUCACCCCAAAAUGGGAGAAGAUCUGAAAGAGGUGUAGAACUGAAACAUGCAGAAAUGGAAAGAAACUGCAAGAAAGAGCUGACGGAAAAGAUGCUCUUUCAGACAGAGAGCCCAGCAUUGCAGAAAAAUGUGAUAUGGGGCAGGAGGAGUGGAAACAGUCCCUUAAUCCCAGUAAAUACGGAACACCAUCAGGAAAGCUCUGAACAGGGGAAAGAACAUCAGAAGCAUGUGGGAAGAAACCGUCAUCUGGACACAAUGAAGGAGGGAAUAAAGUCUGUGCUGCAGGACACAAGACAGAAAAAUUCAGAAAUGCAAAACAAACAGGAGCUGUGGCAGAAGCUGUUCUCUCAGUCAGUGAGCACAUCAUUGUGAGAAGAGAAACAGAAAGGGCUAGUGACAGGAGGAAAUAUCGUGGACAAUGCUAGAGCAUCUCUGAGACGCUAAAAGCCUACCAAAGCCUGGGGAUAUUCAGAAAAGUUUACCCAGACAUGAAGAAAAAUCUGAAAUAAAUAAAGAACAACAAAUUAAUCUGAAUGAAAUGAUCCUGAGAAAAGAAGGAUACACAAGACAGAAACAUGCAGAAAUGCAAAAAAACAAAAAACAAACCAUGAUGCAGAAGCUCUUCCCUCAGUCAGUGAGCCCAUCAUUGUGAGAAGAGAAACAGAAAGGGCUACUGACAGAACAACUCGAUGGAGAUAGCUGUGACCUUAUGAGAACUACUCGUCAAUGUGUAACUGAGGCAGCAAUUCACGAGCAAAAAAGAGAGGAACUGUAUGAGAAAGAGAAAAAAAGGAGCUUAUGUCCUGCUGGAGAACUUGGGAAAACAACUUGAAAAAAAUGCCUGCAGGAGAGAGCGACAUUCGUUGGAAUACUUUUGGGAGCCGUCAUAAGGCAGCAUUAUUAUAAGUCCCACAUGGGGUUGACUCAACUCCUUGCCAGCUAAAGACUGAGUCUGGUGCAACGCCUUGACCCAAUCACCAACAUCACUCUCGGCGCCUUCCUGCGCUGCUCAGGACAUCGCUCUGCUUCCUUGGCUCCGUGGAGGACAGCACUCUGCUCCCCUGCCCUGCGUACAUUGGCCGUGGAAUUUUCAACACAUUGACAAAAUAUGAAUUGACAAUAAAUGCCAUUUGAUUUACUUGUCAUUUACUUCAAGCCUCCUUAGAAUAGCUACCUGUUCUUAUAUACACACUGAUAUAAAAACAGCAGGUGCAGCAGCAUCAUGUACAGUUAUAACAAGACCCUGAAGAUCUCAGUGAACUGUCAAUAUCAUAAUGUGUGCACGUUAAUAGCUUCCCAAGCUGGUAUUUAGAGGAUCUUAGAUCAAAUCUGUGUCAAGUAGUCAGUUUGGUUCACUAAUAAUGUAUGUGUAGAGGGGUAAGAGAACAUCAAGUUGACCAAUAGUGAAAAACAAAUAAUUCACAUUCACUGGUAUAUAAAACAUAUCUGCACCACAACUUUAUAGCUAUAGGUAAUAGUCUGCCUUACCUUUGAUAGUUUUACAAGCAAUAGUUUAUCCAGUUGGAAAGGUAUUGUGGUGGAUUUAAACAAAUUAGUGAAUGUUUAUUUAGUACUAGUUUGCCAAUAAUUGCAAGGUCUUGUACUAUUCCUGCUGUGGUGUGAGUGAGAGAGAGAGAGAGAGAGAGAGAGAGACUGGUGAUUGCUCUUAGGGCUAUAACGAAGGUAAGAACAGGAAUUUUCUCGUACAUUACUUCUAACUACUAAGACUUAAAGUACUCAGUGUUGUUCAUUAUUACAUUAAUAUUGUAUUUGUUGACAAAUCGUUGUGGUAUAAGUGGAAUACCACACACCAGAGCGUGAUGUUAGAUAAAACUAAUACAACAUAUAGAAAAUACUACAUUACCCACGACUCCUUAAUUUAUUGGGACAUCAUGAUUUCCUACCUUUUUGCUCUUCCUCUCUGUGCCUGGUUGUCUGGAGAUCAGAAAUGAAGGGGAAGACUCAAGAAACACCCUGCUAUCAGAAAUCAGGACUGAACUAACAGUAGCAAUGAGCUUUAACGCUGAAGAAACACAGUGCCAUCUUGUGUAAUAAGCUGAUGGAGCUAGAGCAUUCAUGUUCACGGCGAAAUUACCCCAAAACAAACAAAAGGAAGUUUGAACUAGUGAUAACAAACCAACAAAAGCCAGCAAACCGUCAAAAUAAAUUAAUA